GAUGAACGCUGGCGGCGUGCCUAAUACAUGCAAGUCGAGCGAACGGACGAGAAGCUUGCUUCUCUGAUGUUAGCGGCGGACGGGUGAGUAACACGUGGAUAACCUACCUAUAAGACUGGGAUAACUUCGGGAAACCGGAGCUAAUACCGGAUAAUAUUUUGAACCGCAUGGUUCAAAAGUAAAAGACGGUCUUGCUGUCACUUAUAGAUGGAUCCGCGCUGCAUUAGCUAGUUGGUAAGGUAACGGCUUACCAAGGCAACGAUACAUAGCCGACCUGAGAGGGUGAUCGGCCACACUGGAACUGAGACACGGUCCAGACUCCUACGGGAGGCAGCAGUAGGGAAUCUUCCGCAAUGGGCGAAAGCCUGACGGAGCAACGCCGCGUGAGUGAUGAAGGUCUUCGGAUCGUAAAACUCUGUUAUUAGGGAAGAACAUAUGUGUAAGUAACUGUGCACAUCUUGACGGUACCUAAUCAGAAAGCCACGGCUAACUACGUG
rnacentral:rRNA from 1 species